rnacentral:rRNA from 1 species
GGCUCAGAAUCAACGCUGGCGGCGCGCUUAACACAUGCAAGUCGAACGAGAAAGUGGAGCAAUCCAUGAGUAAAGUGGCGUACGGGUGAGUAACACGUGGGUAAUCUACCUCUGGGUGGGGAAUAACCCUGGGAAACCGGGGCUAAUACCACAUAAGCCUGGAAAGGGAAAGACGAAAGUCGCCGAGAGAGGAGCCCGCGGCCGAUUAGCUAGUUGGUAGGGUAAAAGCCUACCAAGGCGAUGAUCGGUAGCCGGCCUGAGAGGGCACACGGCCACACUGGCACUGAAACACGGGCCAGACUCCUACGGGAGGCAGCAGUGGGGAAUCUUGCACAAUGGGGGCAACCCUGAUGCAGCGACGCCGCGUGAGCGAUGAAGCCCUUCGGGGUGUAAAGCUCUUUCGGCUGGAACGAUAAUGACGGUACCAGCAGAAGAAGCUGCGGCUAACUACGUGCCAGCAGCCGCGGUAAUACGUAGGCAGCGAGCGUUGUUCGGAGUUACUGGGCGUAAAGAGUGCGUAGGCGGUGGCCUAAGUCUGGUGUGAAAUCUCCCGGCUCAACUGGGAGGGUGCGCCGGAAACUGGGUUGCUAGAGUGUGGGAGAGGCUAGCGGAAUUCCUGGUGUAGCGGUGAAAUGCGUAGAUAUCAGGAGGAACACCUGCGGUGUAGACGGCUGGCUGGACCACUACUGACGUUGAGGCACGAAAGUGUGGGGAGCAAACAGGAUUAGAUACCCUGGUAGUCCACGCCCUAAACGAUGCAUACUUGGUGUGGGCAGUUCAUUCUGUCCGUGCCGGAGCUAACGCGUUAAGUAUGCCGCCUG